rnacentral:rRNA from 1 species
GACGUAGGGUCCGAGCGUUGUCCGGAGUUAUUGGGCGUAAAGCGCGCGCAGGCGGUCCCUUAAGUCUGAUGUGAAAGCCCACGGCUCAACCGUGGAGGGUCAUUGGAAACUGGGGGACUUGAGUACAGAAGAGGAAAGCGGAAUUCCACGUGUAGCGGUGAAAUGCGUAGAGAUGUGGAGGAACACCAGUGGCGAAGGCGGCUUUCUGGUCUGUAACUGACGCUGAGGCGCGAAAGCGUGGGGAGCAAACAGG